UUGGGGCACAGAAAAUCAACUUGUAAAAAGAAGGAAGCUAAUGAGAGCGACGUGUCUGCUCACGAGCUCGCUCCAGCUGUUGUUGCGACACCCACACGCACAACAACAAUCACAGUGCCUCCCAGCCUUCAUAACAGCCCUGGGCCUAUUACAAGGAGGAGACUUGCUAUGGCCAUAGCCGAAGGCGAUGCAUCACAACCAUCUGGAACAACGAAUGUUUCUGUACCAUCGCCUACUUCUCACAUCCCUUCAAGCUCUACGACAUGCAAGA